UCCUAUAUUCGCAUUUCCAAUAGUUCCAGUAUAUCCAUUAAUCAUAUUGGUCGUCUCGAAGUUUUUUAAAUCAUUUAUCAAUUCUUGAUAUCUUUUUGUACCAAAACAUUAGAUGAAUUAAUGUCUAUUGGAUAAUUGUGUGAAAAGGGCCCUUAUGUUAUUUCCUCAUUUUCUGGAUGUGUCAUAUGGGAUCAAUCAAUGGGGAAGCAAG
rnacentral:lncRNA from 1 species